GAUGAAGAACGCAGUGAAAUGCGAUAACUAAUGUGAAUUGCAGAAUUCAGUGAAUCAUCGAGUCUUUGAACGCACAUUGCGCCCUCUGGUAUUCCGGAGGGCAUGCCUGUCCGAGCGUCAUUGCUGCCCUCCAGCCCGGCUGGUGUGUUGGGCCCCGUCCCCCUUCCCGGGGGGACGGGCCCGAAAGGCAGCGGCGGCACCGCGUCCGGUCCUCGAGCGUAUGGGGCUUUGUCACCCGCUCUUGUAGGCCCGGCCGGCGCCAGCCGACCCCCUCAAUCUAUUUUUCAGGUUGACCUCGGAUCAGGUAGGGAUACCCGCUGAACUUAAGCAUAUCAAUAAGCGGAGGA
rnacentral:misc_RNA from 1 species